UCCCUGGUGGCUCAGAGGUUAAAGCAUCUGCCUGGAAUGCAGGAGAUCUGGGUUUGAUCCCUGGGUUGUGAA
rfam:Ovis aries breed Texel chromosome 6, whole genome shotgun sequence.